rnacentral:rRNA from 1 species
CCUACGGGUGGCAGCAGUGAGGAAUAUUGGUCAAUGGGCGCGAGCCUGAACCAGCCAAGUAGCGUGAAGGAUGACUGCCCUACGGGUUGUAAACUUCUUUUAUAAAGGAAUAAAGUGAGGCACGUGUGCCUUUUUGUAUGUACUUUAUGAAUAAGGAUCGGCUAACUCCGUGCCAGCAGCCGCGGUAAUACGGAGGAUCCGAGCGUUAUCCGGAUUUAUUGGGUUUAAAGGGUGCGUAGAUGGUUUGAUAAGUUAGUGGUGAAAGUUUGCGGCUCAACCGUAAAAGUGCAACUGAUACUGGAAGUCUUGAGUACAGUUGAGGUAGGCGGAAUUCGUGGUGUAGCGGUGAAAUGCUUAGAGAUCACGAAGAACUCCGAUUGCGAAGGCAGCUUACUAAACUGCCACUGACAUUGAUGCUCGAAAGUGUGGGUAUCAAACAGGAUUAGAUACCCCUGUAGUC